CUUGAUAACAAGGCAACGUGGUAAAACCAGGAGCACUACACCCCAGGUCUGCAGGACAGCACCCAGCCUGAAGGGGCUGGCACCUGGACUGGCCUGCAGGUCUACUUCCGAGUUAGGACUGCUCUGCACCAGAGUCCUUGUGAGAUGGCUAAGACUGACUCCUGUGUGACAGCCCACAUGAUCUGGGACAGCCAUUUCAACACCUUCUCCAAGAAUACUCCAAACCAGGAUAAAGUCCAUUUCUACAAUAAAAUCCUUGAAAGGAAAACAAAGAAGUGCACCCUCAGAGUUAAGAUACGGAACAUCAAUGUACUUUCAAGACUCUCUAUGUGCCCCACCCAGACUGCUUCCUCUUUCCUUCCUAGAGCCUAUGAUCAACCCCCCGAUGUCAACAGUACAUUUGUCAGCAUGAUAAAUGUCAUCAGUUUCGCCACAUCCAGUUUGGGCUUCUGUUGGGUUCAAGUUUUUCCCUUCUUCAAUUUCAG